UACGUAGGGUGCAAGCGUUAAUCGGAAUUACUGGGCGUAAAGCGUGCGCAGGCGGUUUUGUAAGUCUGACGUGAAAUCCCCGGGCUCAACCUGGGAAUUGCGUUGGAGACUGCAAGGCUAGAAUCUGGCAGAGGGGGGUAGAAUUCCACGUGUAGCAGUGAAAUGCGUAGAGAUGUGGACGAACACCGAUGGCGAAGGCAGCCCCCUGGGUCAAGAUUGACGCUCAUGCACGAAAGCGUGGGGAGCAAACAGG
rnacentral:rRNA from 1 species